rnacentral:rRNA from 1 species
CGGCGGACGGGUGAGUAAUGCCUAGGAAUCUGCCUGGUAGUGGGGGACAACGUUUCGAAAGGAACGCUAAUACCGCAUACGUCCUACGGGAGAAAGCAGGGACCUUCGGGCCUUGCGCUAUCAGAUGAGCCUAGGUCGGAUUAGCUAGUUGGUGAGGUAAUGGCUCACCAAGGCGACGAUCCGUAACUGGUCUGAAAGGAUGAUCAGUCACACUGGAACUGAGACACGGUCCAGACUCCUACGGGAGGCAGCAGUU